AUGAUUACACAAGGCUACCAAGUUCACCCCAAAGCUUCCAUGGCCACCUUCCGAGUACGACAGGCAGAAGCUGAUCGGCCAGUGUUGGCCAGUAGCGAGGUGGUCAAGACGCCCCCUGAUUGGGCCUUCCCUCCGCAUGUCCAGAGCAUCUCGUCCAGAGCUCGCCGGAGCAGAGGUCGAGCCAGCCGAAGAAGAGCUGCUGGCCACGCCCGACCUCGUCCUGAGAAAAGGAUCUCACUGGCCGCUGCUGUAGGGAGUUCGUGCGACGGAGGGAGAGGAGGAGGCCACGCCAGAGUGAGGUGGUGCCGGAUGGAGGAGGCCGUGCUACUUGCCGUAGUGAGGAGGCGCCGGAGGGAGGAGGCCGAGCCACCCGCGCUCCUCGCCCGAGUGAGGAGGCGCCAGAGGGAGGAGGCUGCGCUACUCAGCACCCCGCGCCGCGCUGCUCCACGGAGUGAGGAGGCGUUGGAGGGAGGAGACCAUGCUGCUCACCGGCCCAUGUCGUGCCGCCCGCGCUGCUUGCCGGAGUGA
rnacentral:rRNA from 1 species